UGGGGAAUUUUGGACAAUGGGCGAAAGCCUGAUCCAGCAAUGCCGCGUGUGUGAAGAAGGCCUUCGGGUUGUAAAGCACUUUUGUCCGGAAAGAAAUCCUUGGCUCUAAUACAGUCGGGGGAUGACGGUACCGGAAGAAUAAGCACCGGCUAACUACGUGCCAGCAGCCGCGGUAAUACGUAGGGUGCAAGCGUUAAUCGGAAUUACUGGGCGUAAAGCGUGCGCAGGCGGUUUGCUAAGACCGAUGUGAAAUCCCCGGGCUCAACCUGGGAACUGCAUUGGUGACUGGCAGGCUAGAGUAUGGCAGAGGGGGGUAGAAUUCCACGUGUAGCAGUGAAAUGCGUAGAGAUGUGGAGGAAUACCGAUGGCGAAGGCAGCCCCCUGGGCCAAUACUGACGCUCAUGCACGAAAGCGUGGGGAGCAAACAGGAUUAGAUACCCUGGUAGUCCACGCCCUAAACGAUGUCAACUAGUUGUUGGGGAUUCAUUUCCUUAGUAACGUAGCUAACGCGUGAAGUUGACCGCCUGGGGGAGUACGGUCGCAAGAUUAAAACUUAAAUGAAUUGACGGGGUCAUGCUGUUUCCU
rnacentral:rRNA from 1 species